AUCCGGAGGGUGCAAGCGUUAUUCGGAAUCACUGGGCGUAAAGGGUGCGUAGGCGGCUUGAUAAGUCGGAUGUGAAAGCCCCGGGCUUAACCUGGGAAUUGCAUUCGAUACUGUCAGGCUAGAGUAUGUCAGAGGUUGGCGGAAUUCCUGGUGUAGCGGUGAAAUGCGUAGAUAUCAGGAGGAACACCAGUGGCGAAGGCGGCUAACUGGGGCAAUACUGACGCUGAGGCACGAAAGCGUGGGGAGCAAACAGGAUUAGAAACCCUAGUAGUCC
rnacentral:rRNA from 1 species